AUUGAACGCUGGCGGAAUGCUUUACACAUGCAAGUCGAACGAUGAACCUUAGCUUGCUAGGGGGAUUAGUGGCGAACGGGUGAGUAAUGUAUCGGAACGUGCCUUGUAAUGGGGGAUAACUAGUCGAAAGAUUAGCUAAUACCGCAUACGCCCUGAGGGGGAAAGUAGGGGGAUCUUCGGACCUUACGUUAUAAGAGCGG
rnacentral:rRNA from 1 species